AAUGGAUUAGAUUUUGCAGGUGAAAGAAGUACUAAGGAUGAUUCUAGAAUUUUAGGCCUGAGUGAUGGUGACGGGUGUGUCAUAAUCAUAAAUUGGAAAGUCAGGAGAAAGCCCUGAUUGGUCAAGUUUCAGACAUGAUGGAUCUCUGAUGUGGGACAUCAGCAGUGCCCUGGGGGAAGGUAGUAAUGACGUCUGGAGCUUGGAAGAGAGGUCUAUGGUGGAUCUAGAGGUCAGAAAUAAUCUAUUUGGUUAAAAGAAUUGAAACUGGAAUGGAUUUGAUGCCGAGAUACAGAAAGAAAAAUGGUCCAAGGACAAAAAGCAUGUUGAAAGGUAGACAGCCUCCCUGGGAACUCAGAAGAAGAUGGCGUUCUCUUUUUCAUGCAACAGUACAGAAAGCAUGGAAAUCUUGUGAAGAGCCCUUCUCUAGUGAGCCUUUGCUCUGGAUGGCUUGCCUAGAAAGAGAUCUAGUAGAUAUUAAGUCACCAAGAAAACACCACGAGUUCCUUUUGUUACUGCACAAAGGGACACGAUCUGCUGGCUGCAAGAUAAAAGUCAAUCAUCAAGAGGCACCUGAACCUGAGAGUUUUCCUCUUUUCACGAUGUGCCAGUUGCAUAGAAAGCAGCAGAGGAGGCUCAUUUUGGCUCUAAGACGUGGACAGGGCAUGGACAAGCCACACACAACUGGGUCUGCGUUGCCACCAGUGGGAGGCAUAUAGCACUGCUGGGGCAGGAGAGGACUGUCAGAGGCACACGGACAAAACCUUCAAAAAACCAUCAAAUCACAAGGUGAGAAGUUAUUCCCUUUCUACUUCUCUUUCAGUCCUCGAGGAGCAGGACUCUGCCUGGUGCUAGUGUAUUUUAACACCUCUCUAACACUUACUAAUGUCCCUUUAUAAUAAAGUGAGAAGGCAGGCCUCA
rnacentral:lncRNA from 1 species